UACGGGGGGGGCAAGCGUUGUUCGGAAUUACUGGGCGUAAAGGGUUUGUAGGUGGCCCGCUAAGUCACACGUGAAAUCCCUCAGCUUAACUGGGGAACUGCGUGUGAGACUGGCAGGCUCGAGGGCAGGAGAGGAACGCGGAAUUCCAGGUGUAGCGGUGAAAUGCGUAGAUAUCGAGAGGAACACCUGCGGCGAAGGCGGGUUGCUGGGCUGACACUGACGCUGAGGCGCGAAAGCUAGGGGAGCGAACGGG
rnacentral:rRNA from 1 species